GGUGGAUAUAAGAACUGGAUAUGGGCAGUUCAUUUCCAACCAAUAUCAGGGAAGAGAGAGCAAAACGCCGUCCUUCCAACACCAUCAAGACAAUUGUUGCCAUCGUCGGUACCUACCACCACAUUUUAUAGUGCCUUCCCUAGUUGUUGGUUGCCCAGAUCUAGGAUCUGGGGCAGGGCCUUUGGGCGGACAACGUUUAGGUGGUUUUUGAUGUCGCUCCCCUUCCCUGUGCAGGAUCCAGUUUUCCUUCACCGUGCAAGGAUGGCGGCUCGUCUGCCCCACUCAUCAGCUAGUCGAUCUAUGUCGACGGCCAAGGUAUCAUUCAUCCUUAUCUCGGCAUGA
rnacentral:lncRNA from 2 species